rnacentral:rRNA from 1 species
CGGGGGGAGCAAGCGUUGUUCGGAUUUACUGGGCGUAAAGGGCGCGUAGGCGGCGCCGCAAGUCGACUGUGAAAUCUCCGGGCUUAACCCGGAAAGGUCAGCCGAUACUGCGGGGCUAGAGUGCAGAAGGGGCAACUGGAAUUCUCGGUGUAGCGGUGAAAUGCGUAGAUAUCGAGAGGAACACCUGCGGCGAAGGCGGGUUGCUGGGCUGACACUGACGCUGAUGCGCGAAAGCUAGGGGGAGCGAACGGGAUUAGAUACCCCGGUAGUCCUAGCCUUAAACGAUGAAUGCUUGGUGUCUGGGGUUUUAUAGUCCCCGGGUGCCGUCGCUAACGCUUUAAGCAUUCCGCCUGGGGAGUACGGUCGCAAGACUG